AUGAAACCGACCAAACUGGAGUUAGCUACCGGACUGUCCCGCGAGCGGUAUCUGGGAGGCAAUUACAUUGCUGUCAUAGAAGGUUUAGAAGGAUUAGGAGAACUAAGAGAGCUUCAUGUUGAGAAUCAGAGGCUUCCCCUUGGGGAAAAGCUUCUGUUUGAUCCAAGAACUCUUCAUUCUCUGGCAAAAUCCCUCUGUAUAUUGAAUAUCAGCAAUAAUAAUAUUGAUGACAUUACAGACUUAGAACUACUAGAGAAUCUUAAUCAGCUCAUAGCCGUUGACAACCAACUUCUGCAUGUGAAGGUAGUGUAAAGAGAAAUUAAUUUUUAAGAUAUUUACAUGAAAUUAUGAUUGAAAAAUGUUUUGUAAUAGCUAUAAAAUAAAUAUAUCACAUUAAAAA
rnacentral:lncRNA from 1 species